UACGUAGGGGACAAGCGUUGUCCGGAAUUAUUGGGCGUAAAGCGCGUGUAGGCGGUCCGGUAAGUCCGCUGUGAAAGUCGAGGGCUCAACCCUGGAAUGCCGGUGGAAACUGUCGGGCUCGAGUCCGGAAGAGGCGAGUGGAAUUCCUGGUGUAGCGGUGAAAUGCGCAGAUAUCAGGAGGAACACCAAUGGCGAAGGCAGCUCGCUGGGACGGUACUGACGCUGAGACGCGAAAGCGUGGGGAGCAAACAGG
rnacentral:rRNA from 1 species